rnacentral:rRNA from 1 species
AUAGGCUAAUUAAGAGCGUAAGGGGAAUACCUUGGCUCUCAGAGGCGAUGAAGGACGUGAUAAGCUGCGAUAAGUUGCGGGGAAUGGCACAAACAUUUUGAUCCGCAAAUUUCCGAAUGGGGCAACCCGGCAUAUUGAAGAUAUGUCACACUGUAAAGUGAGCAAACCUGGUGAACUGAAACAUCUAAGUAACCAGAGGAAUAGAAAACAAAAGUGAUUCCGCUAGUAGUGGCGAGCGAACGUGGAAUAGCCCAAACCUAAAUUGUUACGGCAAUUUAGGGGUUGUAGGACCUCAACAUUUAAUGCUAAUAGAACUAGAAUUUACUGGAAAGUAAAACCAAAGAAGGUGAUAGUCCUGUAUAGGUAAUUGAUGUUAUUAAUAGAGGUAUCCUGAGUAGUACGGAGCACGUGAAACUUUGUAUGAAUUUGCCAGGACCAUCUGGUAAGGCUAAAUACUCCUGAGAGACCGAUAGUGAACUAGUACCGUGAGGGAAAGGUUAAAAGUACCCUGAAUAAGGGAGUGAAAUAGAUCUUGAAACCUUACGCUUACAAGCGGUCGGAGCCCAUUUAUGGGUGACGGCGUGCCUUUUGCAUAAUGAGCCUACGAGUUACCUUUGCUAGCAUGGCUAAUCCGUUAAGCGGAGCAACCGAAGCGAAAGCGAGUCUGAAUAGGGCGUUUAGUUAGCAGUGGUAGACGCGAAACCUAGUGAGCUAUCCAUGGGCAGGUUGAAGCUGUAGUAACAUACAGUGGAGGACCGAACCCGUUGACGUUGAAAAGUCUUGGGAUGACCUGUGGAUAGGGGUGAAAGGCCAAUCAAACUAGGAAAUAGCUCGUACUCCCCGAAAUGCAUUUAGGUGCAGCGUUAAAAUAAGUUUCAUAGAGGUAGAGCUACUGAUUGGAUGCGGGGGUUUCACCACCUACCAAUUCCUGACAAACUCCGAAUGCUAUGAAAUGUUUUUUAGCAGUGAGGGCAUGGGUGCUAAGGUCCAUGUCCGAGAGGGAAACAACCCAGACCAUCAGCUAAGGUCCCAAAAUAUAUACUAAGUUGAAUAAACGAGGUUUGACUGCCCAGACAGCUAGGAUGUUGGCUUGGAAGCAGCCAUUCAUUUAAAGAGUGCGUAACAGCUCACUAGUCGAGCGGUCGAGCAUGGAUAAUAAUCGGGCAUAAGUAUAUUACCGAAGCUAUGGCAUUAUUUAUAAUGGGUAGGGGAGCAUUCUAUUGACGUUGAAGGUGAACUGUGAGGUUUGCUGGAGUUUAUAGAAACGAAAAUGUAGGCAUAAGUAACGAUUAGGGGUGCGAGAAACACCCCCUCCGAAAAACUCAGGUUUCCUCAGCUAUGCUAAUCAGCUGAGGGUUAGUCAGGACCUAACACGAACCCAAAUGGGGUAGUGGAUGGACAACCAGUUAAUAUUCUGGUACCUGCUUAACAAUAAAAGCGACGGAAAAGAGAGGUUAUUGCGUACUGACGGAAUAGUACGUUGAAAUUACUUUUAAGGUAAUGAUAGUACACCAAAUCUACGGAUGAGGUGAUAAUAUAGCGGAUCUUUUUCCAAGAAAAACAAGUUAAGCAGCCUGUACCUUAAACCGACACAGGUAGUUGGGAUGAGGAUUCUAAGGAGCUCGAGAGAUUCAUGGCUAAGGAACUAGGCAAAUUUGACCCGUAACUUCGGGAUAAGGGUCGCCUACUUUUAGUAGGCCGCAGUGAAAAGGUCCAAGCGACUGUUUAUCAAAAACACAGGACUCUGCUAAGUCGAAAGACGAUGUAUAGGGUCUGACACCUGCCCGGUGCCGGAAGGUUAAGUGGAAAUGUUAGCUUCGGCAAAGCAUCGAAAUGAAGCCCCGGUAAACGGCGGCCGUAACUAUAACGGUCCUAAGGUAGCGAAAUUCCUUGUCGGGUAAGUUCCG